GAGUCCUACGGGGCGCAGCAGUGGGGGAUAUUGCACAAUGGGGGAAACCCUGAUGCAGCGACGCCGCGUGGGCGAAGAAGUAUUUCGGUAUGUAAAGCCCUAUCAGCAGGGAAGAGGAAAUGACGGUACCUGAGUAAGAAGCACCGGCUAAAUACGUGCCAGCAGCCGCGGUAAUACGUAUGGUGCAAGCGUUAUCCGGAAUCACUGGGCGUAAAGGGCGCGUAGGCGGUAAUAUAAGUCAGAUGUGAAAGGUGGGGGCUCAACCCCUAGAGUGCAACUGAUACUGUAUAACUUGAGUGUGAGAG
rnacentral:rRNA from 1 species